rnacentral:rRNA from 1 species
UACGUAGGGUGCGAGCGUUGUCCGGAUUUAUUGGGCGUAAAGGGCUCGUAGGCGGCGUGUCGCGUCGGGAGUGAAGACCGGGCUUAACCCCGGGUUCUGCUUCCGGUACGGGCAUGCUGGAGUGUGGCAGGGGAGACUGGAAUUCCUGGUGUAGCGGUGGAAGUGCGCAGAUAUCAGGAGGAACACCGGUGGCGAAGGCGGGUCUCUGGGCCAUUACUGACGCUGGAGGAGCGAAAGCGUGGGAGCGAACAGG